rnacentral:rRNA from 1 species
GUGGGGAAUAUUGGGCAAUGGGGGAAACCCUGACCCAGCAACGCCGCGUGAAGGAAGAAGGCUUUCGGGUUGUAAACUUCUUUUAUGAGGGACGAAGAAGUGACGGUACCUCAUGAAUAAGCCACGGCUAACUACGUGCCAGCAGCCGCGGUAAUACGUAGGUGGCAAGCGUUGUCCGGAUUUACUGGGUGUAAAGGGCGCGUAGGCGGGAUAGCAAGUCAGGUGUGAAAGCCGGGGGCUUAAACCUCGAACUGCACUUGAAACUGUUAUUCUUGAGUGAUGGAGAGGCAAGCGGAAUUCCUAGUGUAGCGGUGAAAUGCGUAGAUAUUAGGAGGAACACCAGUGGCGAAGGCGGCUUGCUGGACAUUAACUGACGCUGAGGCGCGAAAGCGUGGGGAGCAAACAGGAUUAGAUACCCGGGUAGUCC